rnacentral:rRNA from 1 species
GAUGAACGCUGGCGGCGUGCCUAAUACAUGCAAGUCGAGCGAACAGACGAGGAGCUUGCUCCUCUGACGUUAGCGGCGGACGGGUGAGUAACACGUGGAUAACCUACCUAUAAGACUGGGAUAACUUCGGGAAACCGGAGCUAAUACCGGAUAAUAUAUUGAACCGCAUGGUUCAAUAGUGAAAGACGGUUUUGCUGUCACUUAUAGAUGGAUCCGCGCCGCAUUAGCUAGUUGUUAAGGUAACGGCUUACCAAGGCAACGAUGCGUAGCCGACCUGAGAGGGUGAUCGGCCACACUGGAACUGAGACACGGUCCAGACUCCUACGGGAGGCAGCAGUAGGGAAUCUUCCGCAAUGGGCGAAAGCUUGACGGAGCAACGCCGCGUGAGUGAUGAAGGUCUUCGGAUCGUAAAACUCUGUUAUUAGGGAAGAACAAAUGUGUAAGUAACUAUGCACGUCUUGACGGUACCUAAUCAGAAAGCCACGGCUAACUACGUG